rnacentral:rRNA from 1 species
UACGUAGGGUGCAAGCGUUGUCCGGAAUUAUUGGGCGUAAAGAGCUCGUAGGCGGUUUGUCGCGUCGAAUGUGAAAACCCGGGGCUCAACCCCGGGCCUGCAUUCGAUGACGGGCAGACCGUAGAGUUCGGUAGGGGGAGUCUGGAAUUCCUGGUGUAGCGGUGAAAUGCGCAGAUAUCAGGAGGAACACCCGUAGCGAAGGCGGCACUCUGGGCCGAUUCUGACACUGAGGAGCGAAAGCGUGGGGAGCGAACAGG